GCUCCCGUGGCACAGCUGGAUAGCGCGUAACUAUCCCCCUCCUAAGGGGCAGGUCACAGGUUCGAAUCCUGUCGGGAGCGCCA
rnacentral:tRNA from 1 species